CUUGUCAGUGAUGUCUUAUCACAGAAGUAUGAGUUUAACAACCAUGAGAAUACUUCUCAUGCACUACCAUCUGAGACAAG
ensembl:snoRNA SNORD33 Small nucleolar RNA Z195/SNORD33/SNORD32 family